GAAAGCCAGGCUGCUUCAAACCCAGGGCCCGCGGCAAAAAAGCAUCACUUCCGGCCGGGGAGUCUGGAAGCCACGCCUUGUGGGAGGUCACACUGGCAUCUAGGCCUUCGCCUGCACUGCAGAAGGAGAGCCGGGUCCCCCUCCUGGAGAACGCUGCGUUCCCCAGCCCCACACCGGCUUUGCCACCACACAGGCUGUUGAGGCAGGAGGCGGAGACUUCAGAACCCACUCCUGAGAACAGCGGAGCCAGGCGCUUAGAGGAAGACCAAAUGCUGCCAGGACACGGAUUGUCCAGGGAUUACAUUCCAGCAUCUUAUUAGGUAUCUGGAUCUGUUGGG